CUCCCUGAUCAAGAGCUCCUCCGCAGCUUUCCUGGAGCCCCUUUCAGCACUGGAAGCUGCUCUAAGGUCUUCCCGGAGCCUUCUCUUCUCCAGGCUGAACAACCCCAUCUCUCUCAGCCUGUCCUCAGAGCAGAGGUGCUCCAGCUCUUGGAUCAUCUUCAUGGCAUCCUCCAGACCUGCUCCAGCAGCUCCAUGUCCUUUCUGUGUUGAGGAUGCCAGAGCUGUGUGCAGCACUCCAGGUGGGGUCUCCCCUGAGCAGAGCAGAGAGGCAGAAUCCCCUCCCUCCCUGCUGGAUGCAGCCCAGGAUAUGGUUGGUUUCUGGGCUGUGAACGUACAUUGCUGGCAUCAAGCCCUCAAGCAACCCCGUCCCUUUGGAGGUCCCUGGUACCCCACGGAGGCUGCCGUCUCUAUCCCAGAGCUCCCUAUGGGUUUCUACAACCACAUUCAUGGAGACGAACCCCAAAUACACACCUCCCGUGGGGAAGAGAAGGCCCAAAUGUUGAGGCUGGGAACGGGUCUCCAUCCCUCAUGGCCUCACCACUACAACAAGGUUUUAUUCAACGGAGUCAUGGCCACUUUCACCCUAAUGCCUGAGCUUUGAGCCAGGAUGUGGCAAUGAACUUAGAGAGGUUCAAACCAACACUGACAUCACAGCUGGUCACCAUCGCAGCACACGUUCGCUCUGAACAAAGCCUCAGAAGACAGAGAAAUAGGAAAAGCAAAAAAGACAGAGGUACACCCUCAUGUCAGUUCUGGGCAGAUGAAUGCAUGUUCCUAAAGAAAAACUCAUUUCAGGUUGUCUGGAGGCUCACAGCAUGGCUCCAGCAGAAACUGAAGAAUACUGUCAGGAAAAAAAACACCAUGUUAGUCAGGCUAAUUCCCAAGUUGCUAUCAAAAUUACAGGAUAUUAAAAAGGCUUCGUGGCUGUUCUCCUGUCAGUGAAACUCUUUGCUGGCAUCUGGCCACCAAAAGGCAUCGUGUUUAGUCACACAAAAAAAAGCUACUAAUGCAGUGCUGGAAGUGUUGAAUUAUGGCUCUCAGGAACUCAAUUUUCCACCAUUAUCCUCUAUUUAUGUAAUUCCUAGGGACCUUCUGGAGCAUUAAUUCCUGAAAAGAAAAACACGAACUACAGACAGCGUGAAUGAAAUGUGAUGGCGUCACCCAAGGAGCAGACGAGGAGUUCUGCAUUGUGUUCUGGAGAAAAAGAACCCUCCCUCGAGCUUGCAGCCAAGUCCCAGCUGAGCAUCCCUGCUAGCAAAUCCUCUGGGAGCAAACACUGAUCCCAUGGGAAAAUCCCCCAUGCUAGCUCCUAGUUCUUGAUUUUGGGCACAGCCCCACUGGGGAAUCCCCUGAAUAUCUGCAAGGACAGGCAGCUUUUCUUUUCCUCCUAUUUUGUCUUGCUUCAACAGCAGAGGGUGGAAGAGUCACUGGAGGGAGCUGUAGUCGCUCAGUUAGGGAUGCUCUUCCCUGCUUUCCAUCCUGUUCGUGGUGAGGAGCUCUCCAAAGGUCUGUGAAUCAGAUUUUAGCUGCAGAAAAUGAGGUACACUCCUGUGAGCUUUGGGUUAGCCGAAUUUCUUGUGCCCUCUCAAGGUUCGGCCAAAGCCAAAGCAGCUCCAGCCACCACACAACCCAGAGAAGGGACUGUGGGGAGGGCAAGGGGGUCUCUCUCUGCUCAUAUUUGUUAACUGGCGUAGGAGAAUGAAGGCAGGGAGCAACAUCUAAUCCUAAUAACUGACCGCCUUAAUUUAACUGCGCUGCUAAAGCACCCCAGACAGAGUACAGAGUUAAUUAUAUUGACUUAUGCUAAGCACCCCAUCUAAACGCUGCUGCUGACGCACACUCAAAAAACACUUUAUCCACUGUAAGGCAAUUACUGGAGGUCUGCAACAUUCUGGGAACUCCACCAGUGUUAUUUCCCACAGGGUGUUUGCUGGUGACCAAGGCCUCUCUGAAAGUCUCGUCCUGCAGCCGCAGAGCAUGGCUGCAUCUGGCCAGGGACAAGCUCUGUCUCCCAAAAAAAAGAGGAAAAAAGCAAAUGCAAAGAUGAAGCCACGCUGUUGUGCAGCGUGUUUCUCUAGGAGGAGGAGGACAGGCUGGAGAGGGUGCAGACAAGGGCUGCGGCGGUGAUCAGAUAACGAGGAAACCUUCCAUACGAGGACUGCAGACUAUUACGUGCUUCAUCAGAGGACGGAGAAGGAGAAUAACUGAGCCAGGGUCACAGCAGGGAGGAGCGGUGUUGGCUGCACAGGGCCAAGCACAGCUGCCCAAGGGUUGAACACAAAGGAUGGUCUCCUCCAGGAAACUGGCUGCAGACUGCAUCACGCCUGCUUCUGCAGACCACACCAUACAGCUUUCUCCUGGGACCACACGGAUCUGUGAGUUGAUGAAGCCUCCACCGCACUCCUCCACCGCUCCAGACCUCCAGCCUGGAUGGCAACCUGCAUUAAACAUCUGCAGCUCCCUUCAAAAUCCAUUAGCAUCAGGAGUGCGCGCGAGGGAGACUUCUUACCAGCUCCCCUUGCCUCCCUCUUUCCCGCAGUGUCUGCCUGCUGCCAGCACAGCCGCUGCUCCCCCAUGGAGCUGCUCCACCAGUGAAGCCACCGUGUGCUGCUCCCAGCUCCAAUCUCCCAUUUGCGAGGGCACAGGAGAGUCUGGAGCAGCACGGCUGUGGUGGCUGGGAGGUGCUGGGUCCUUCUCCAGGCCCUGCUCUGAAAGAACGCAACACACCUAGGGCUAUCCCAAUAGGAGAGUUUUAUUGCAAGAAACUGCCACGCUGAAUUAAAUUUGUCAGAGGAAAACCCCAAUUCUUUCAAUAUAUUUUUGUUUGACUAUAAAACUGGUUUCAGUACCUUAAAUUAUUUUGCAAGGUUCGGCAUCUGCCUGGGAAUAUGGACCUACAUGGAGAAGUUCUCAGCCGCUGGCUCAAUAAUUUCUUGUUAGAAAGUGCCACUUUGGGAGUGUUUCAGCCCUUCUUGUGCAGAUGGAGAAAAUCUACUGACAGCAGCAGGAGAGGAAAACCAAGGCAGCCCGAAACACCCCCCCCCCAAGGAGGGGAUAGAUUUCCCCCACUCAAGGGAAGGUAUUUAUUUUCCUGCAUUUUGCUUCAUUCCUCCUUUCCCUCCCUCACCAUCCCCGAGUGUCAUGAGAAGGUGUGCAUGGACCAACGGAUGGAAUCGCAGGGAAUCUUGUGCAGAUCCCUAAGCAGGGCAGCGGUGGGGCACGCCAGCCUGCCCCCACCCCCUCGCAAUUAUUAUUGCAUUAGAACACAGUACAAAAGAGGAAAAAAGCUUUACAGAUCGUGUGGAUCUCAGCCUUGGACAGAAGUAUAUGACUGUACAUCAAAAGCCCAUCCCUUAUUCCCUAUGAUUAAAUAAGUGUAAUUCCGACAGCGCUGGGCUUUCACAAAGUGGGUCGGCACAGAAGGGAGGACAAAGAUAAGCAGAAAGUCUGCAGACAAGGCAGUUGCCCUUUCCAUGCACUUCCACUGCUGGGAUGAACAGCAGCUCAUGUUUUAUAAAAGCAGCAAAGCAAGAAACACAGAGCUUAGUCAUUUAAAUAAAGCAAGCAAACACACGUCUCCCCACAGACCAUUUCUGGGAGGAGAAAAAUAGAAUCACAGAAUGCUUUGGGUUGGAAGGGACCUCAAAGUCUAUCCAGUUCCAUCCCCUGCCAUAGGCAGGGACACCUCCUGGAUCAGGGGCUCCAAGCCCCAUCCAACCUGGCCUGGAACCCCUCCAGGGAUGGGGCAGCCACCACUGCUCUGGACAACCUGGGACAGGGCUUCCCCACCCUCAUUUCUCCCUAAGAUCUCAUCUCUAUCUCCCCUCUUUAAGCUGAAAACUUUUCCCCCUCAUCGCAUCCCUGCCCUUCCUGAACAAGAGCCCCUCCCCAGCUUUCCUGGAGCCCCUUUCAGCACUGGAAGCUGCUCUAAGGUCUCCUCGGAGCCUUCUCUUCUCCAGGCUGAACAAUCCCAACUCUCUCAGCCUGUCCUCACAGCAGAGGUGCUCCAGCCCUCGGAUCACCUUCAUGGCCUCCUCUGAAUCCAUUCCAAAAGUUCCUUUAAAUAUCCUUUUUAUGUUGGGGAUUCCAAAACUGAAUACAGGACUCCCUGUGAGGAGUAUAUACAUACAUAUAUAUGCAAUAUAUAUGAUACAAAGCCAUGAACGGCACUUGAACCCUUCCUGAGCCCUGCCUGCUGCUUUGAAGCACUAGAGAGCCCUGGGAGGCGCUUGGUAGAGCUCAGCCCUCGAGCUAUGCCCAGGAAACACAUCCCGGCUUGUGGCUGGGAGGGCAACCAACACCAGUGCCCACGCCAGCAGGGCUUACAGCUCCCCAAGCAGGCUCAAGGAUCAGUUUCUCCUGAAAAGAACCACCACAACCCAACUGCUUCAACAUACCUAUGUUCAACGCAGCCGGUGAUGGCCGGCAGCUCACUGAGGUAACACCAGCCUGGGCACUUUGGCAU